AAGAGACCUGAGGUAAGGUGAGAGAGGGAUAGAGCGAGAAAGGAAGAGACUGAGGUAAGGUGAGAGAGGGAGAAAGGAAGAGACUGAGGUAAGGUGAGAGAGGGAGAAAGGAAGAGACGGGUAAGGGAAGAGCGGGAGAGAGGGAGAAAGGAAGAGACUGAGGUAAGGUGAGAGAGGGAUAGAGGGAGAAAGGAAGAGACUGAGGUAAGGUGAGAGAGGGAUAGAGGGAGAAAGGAAGAGACUGAGGUAAGGUGAGAGAGGGAGAAAGGAAGAGACUGAGGUAAGGUGAGAGAGGGAUAGAGGGAGAAAGGAAGAGACUGAGGUAAGGUGAGAGAGGGAGAAAGGAAGAGAGGUAAGGGAAGAGCGGGAGAGAGGGAGAAAGGAAGAGACUGAGGUAAGGUGAGAGAGGGAUAGAGGGAGAAAGGAAGAGACUGAGGUAAGGUGAGAGAGGGAGAAAGGAAGAGACUGAGGUAAGGUGAGAGAGGGAUAGAGGGAGAAAGGAAGAGACUGAGGUAAGGUGAGAGAGGGAUAGAGGGAGAAAGGAAGAGACUGAGGUAAGGUGAGAGAGGGAUAGAGGGAGAAAGGAAGAGACUGAGGUAAGGUGAGAGAGGGAUAGAAGCUUGACAAGUUCCUCUAACAGACUUUCUGUCACCAGUGUUUCACAGCCAGUCUGUCGUUGAGUGACAGCCGACAGACCUUUCUAAUAAAAGGACACCACAAAUGGACGGAGCUAAGGCAGUGGCGACCGUUGCCGUGGUGUAGUGACUAAAUCCUGUCCUCAUACAGCAGAGACUUUCUAAAGAUAAACCUUUGACAUCAGUAGCAGGGGGCAAUGGCCCCUGUCAAUCAACUACACUGAUAAUGCCAAUGGCUAGUAAGCAUUACUGAUCACUGGAUGCUUUCUAAAUCAUUAAGCAUCACAAACCUAAAUCACAUUGUUUCUCACCACAGCAUAACAGCCCAUUCUGUCUUAUUCGCUGUGUAAUGAUACCCCUUUCUCCCCGACACAAUACACACCAGUGCCAUGACACACCUCCCUCCUACCCAUACUCUACCCCCGUCUCACCUGUAUCUAAGGCCACAUUACUUCCUGCAAUCAAAGAGUUUAGCUAAAACAACAAUAGGUCAGUAUGUCAGCUCUCUCGGCCCCCUCCUCCCCCUUUCCCUCUCCAAGUCUUUGACUCUCUCAUUCAGCUGUUUCCAUGGAAACUGCUGUUCUUUCCGGUAAGGUAAAGAGUUGUCUGAGUUGGGUUUGAGUUGGAUGUGAUGUAAUCAAAUGGCUACUAUCCAUGUAUGGGCAUGAUGUCCUGUAUUCUGAACAUAAUGUCCUGUAUUCUGAACAUAAUGUCCUGUAUUCUGGACUAAACCGGUCUCUAGACACGCUCAUACACUCUUCAUUUAGUACCAUCAUUAGAGGGACAACCAGCCCAGACACGUGGAAAGAAGUUAUACACAAACAAACAAGGUCACUCAUUUAAUAAGAUAAUCUAUGUUGUCUUGUCUACUCUAAUGACCCGUGUAGACAGUAAACAAGCUAUGUCCUUGACUUGACAGAGAGAGGGCUUGAAAUAGCAAGGUGUUUGCUCUCCUCAGAGAGAUAGAGGCUUUCUGGACAGCAGGUCGGGCAGGGUAUUACAAGGAGCUAGUUGUCACCUUGCCUGCUAGAGGGAGACAGACUUCCCAUCUGUACCCUUUAAUGGUGUCUUAUCCCCUCUCUGUCUUGCAUCCCAACCAGCACCCUAUUCCCUAUAUAGUGCACUACUUUUGUAGGAUCUUAAUUUGAUCACCCUGUUGCAGGAUAACUUUUCUGCAAUGUAGGAAAUGUAAAACCUGUAGUGUAUUUGAAGUUUGAAAUAUCAGACUUGAUUUUCCCUUUAAAAAAUGUAGCAACUCCUACAAAAUUGUCCAUGAAUUAUAAUCCACAUAAUUCACAUUUCCUGUUACAGCAGGGGGAUUUUCCUGCUGUAGCAAACUGGCUCAAAUUUAAGAUCCUACAUCUGUAUAAGGAAUAGGGUGCCAUUUGGGAUGUGCACUCUGUUCGUCUGCUACUGUACCUCUCGGCUCUGUUCAUAAUGCUACUCCUGAGUACUGUGUUUGUCUGGCUGGCUACCACAACUCCCCUGCUCCUCUCUUCCCUCCAUCUCUCCCUCUACAUUAUUCUGUGAGCAAAGACAGAUUCGGUCGAAUGUCAUUUUGAAAACAUCAUGAAUUUAGGGAGAGAUCUAGUCAGGAGAGUUUUUUUUUUUUUUUUGUGUGUGUGUUCGUUGCAUUUUACCAAUGAGCCAAGGGAAUGCUAUUAAAAUAUGAAUCUAAAUAUUGAUAUUGUGACUUUGAAAUCCAAUGAUCUGCUGGUGGUCUUCUUGUUGUGAAUACUCCCUUUAGAUAGUGUUUAUGUUUAUGGAAUGCUUAAGGGAACAGGUGGGUAGGCAUCCUUGCAUUUUAACCCACUGAAACUUACUUCUUACUUUGUUCUAAUCAUACAUGUUGUUUAAUGAUAUUCUGACCUAUUUAAACCAUCAUGUAUUAUAUACAGUGCAUUAGGAAUGUAUUCAGACCCCUUGACUUUUUCCACCUUUUGUUACGUUAUUCUAAAAUACGUUAUGUUACGUUAUUCUAAAAUGAAUGAAAUUGUUUUCCGCCCCUCAGCAAUCUGUACAGAAUACCCCAUAAUGACAAAGCAAAAACACGUUUUUAGAAAUGUUUGCAAAUGUAUAAUAAAAAAAACAACGUAAAUCUCACAUUUACAUAAGUAUUCAGACUCUUUAUUCAGUACUUUGUUGAAGCAAAUUUUGGCAGCGACUACAGCCACAAGUCUUCUUGGGUAUUGGCGCGACAAGCUUGGCACACCUGUAUUUGGGGAGUUUCUCCCAUUCUUCUCUGCAGAUCCUCUCAAGCUCUGUCAGGUUGGAUGGGUAGUGUCAAUGCACAGCUAUUUUCAGGUCUCUCCAGAGAUGUUCGAUCGGGUUCAAGUCUUGGCUCUGGCUGGGUGUUACGAGAAUUAUGUUCUCAAUGUUCAUAACCCAAUUCAAUUAAACUACUCAGUCUGCAACCCAGGAUUUGCAAGAUACUGGUUGAAUAAAACAGACGGAGGCCCAGCUAUGAUAGCCAAAAAGUUUAUUCACGAGAGCGCUAGUUCGUUGUACAAAACCAUUCAUUUUAUAUUGGCUCCUUACGCACAUACUUUCACACACAAACAGAAGGUAUCCUGUCUCCCUAACCCAGCCGACAUAGAGUAUGGAGACCGUGAUGCCGUGAGAAGUACUCCCUGCCCUCGCCCAAAUCUCUGUGGCCAAGGUCGGCACCGAAUUUUGCUCAGACAGUCUGUGUUUAAGAUAUUAUAGAGACGUAUUGUACAAUUCUUUUGUUUUACCCUAAUUCUGACUAAAACUACACACAUUUAUUAUAAUUUUACUGACUAAAACUACACAAAUCGUUAAUAAUAAUUUUAUGAUCCUAAUCAAUUUCAUACAAUUAUAUGGUUUCAGGGUGGAAUAUUCUAAUCAUUCAUUUAAACAUAUAAAUUCCAUUAACACUGGGCCACUCAAGGACAUUCAGAGACUUGUCCCAAUGCCACUCCUGCGUUGUCUUGGCUGUGUGCUUAGGGUCGUUGUCCUGUUUUGAAGGUGUACCUUUGCUCCAGUCUAAGGUCCUGAGCGCUCUGGAGCAGGUUUUCAUCAAGGAUCUCUCUGUACUUUGCUCCGUUCAUCUUUCCCGUAAUCCUGACUAGUCUCCCAGUCCCUGCUGCUGAAAACAUCCCCACAGCAUGAUGCUGCCACCACCAUGCUUCACCGUAGGGAUGGUGCCAGGUUUCCUCCAGACGUGACGCUUGGCAUUCAUUUUGGUUUCAUCAGACCAGAGAAUUACGUUUUUCAUUGUCUGAGUCCUGUAGGUGCCUUUUGGCAAACACCAAGUGGGCUGUCAUGUGCCUUUUACUGAGGAGUGGCUUCCGUCUGGCCAUUCUAUCAUAAAGGCCUGAUUGGUGGAGUGCUGCAGAGAUGGUAACCUUCCUUCUGGAAGGUUAUACCAUCUCCGCAGAGGAAUUAUGGAGCUCUGUCAGCGUGACCAUUGGGAUCUUGGUCACCUCCCUUCUCCCCCGAUUGCUCUGUUUGGCCGGGCAGCCAGCUCUAGGAAGAGUCUUGGUUGUUCCAAACUUCUUCCAUUUAAGAAUGAUGGAGGCCGCUGUGUUUUAUGGGGACCUUCAAUGCUGCAGAAUUGUUUUGGUACCCUUCCCCAGAUCUGUGCCUCGACACAAUCCUGUUUUGGAGCUCUAUAGACAAUUCCUUUGACCUCAUGGCUUGGGUUUUGCUCUGACAUGCACUGUCAACUGUGGGACCUUAUAUAGACAGGUGUGUGCCUUUCCAAAUCAUGUCCAAUCAAUUGAAUUUACCUCAGAUGGACUCCAAUCAAGUUAUAAAAACAUCUCAAGGAUGAUCAAUGGAAACAGGAUGCACCUGAGCUUAAUUUCGAGUCUCAUAGCAAAGGGUCUGAAUGCUUAUGGAAGUAAGGUAUUUUUUUAUAUUUUUUAAUACAUUUGCUUUAAUUUCUAAAAACCUGUCUUCGCUUUGUCAUUCUAAAAAUCUGUCUUCGCUUUGUCAUUAAAAAAUGUUAUCUAUUUUAGAAUAAGGCUGUAACGUAACAAUGUGGAAAAAGGCAAGGGGUCUGAAUACUUAACGAAUGCAUUGUAUAAUUUAUGCAGAAUGCUUGAGGCGAUGACAGGAUUGCUUUAAGUAGAGAUUAAUGAUUCAUGAAGGGUUAAGAUUCAUGAUUGCCUUAAAAUCAAUACAAGUUCAAGGUAGAAGCCAAACAUUUGUCUAUAUGAAUUGCUACAAUUAAUUAAAAUAGUUUGUUGACUUUG